rnacentral:lncRNA from 1 species
CGAGUUAAGUAUACUAUGUACAUAAACUCAAAAUAAAACAACUACCUGCAGUAGGGUGCCUCUAGCUCUGUUCGUCGGGUAGGGCUCUAACUCGCGACGCCCUUGCCUCGAUCCUGAUCUGCGGAAGGCGCAGCAGCCGAAACCUGUGGCUCUACAAAACAGGGGUAACAACUGGGCGUGAGAACUACUGUAAAAACAAGUAGUCCUCAGUGGGUGCCGCCCAAAACAACAUCGGUCCACCCACUAAGUCUACAGUAGGGAGCAAAUGUAGUAGGAAAAGUUGAAAAGAAAUCUACAGCUACAUAUCGCUACACUAGCAUGAUCUACACUAACCAAUUAUAGUAAAAGUCACAACUGCCCCAAUCUCACUAGGGACUGUGAACACACCCGUCCCGCCUGUCGGAUCGAACCCGUAACCUACUCCAAGAGUAGCUGGUGGAGAAAACUCUCUAGGGACUGUGAAUACACCCAUCCCGUCUAAUUAGGUGACACCGUAGCUCAAGAGUAACCGGCGGAGAAAACUCUCUAAAGACUGUGAAUACACCCGUCUCGUCUACUAGACUACACCGUAUCUCAAGAGUAACCGGCGGAGAAAACUCUCUAAAGACUGUGAAUACACCCGUCUCGCCUAAUUAGACUACACCGUAUCUCGAGGGUAGUCGGUUCCAGAAAGGGUCCAACCGAACGGCUAAGACUCCACUCACGCCACAACCUCACUAAAGGUAGGGAAAAGAGUCACUCACUACCUCACCAGGGCUGCCCAAAACGGACCCACCCUACCUGUAUCUAGCCGUGCCGUACACCACCCCGAGGGUAGCCGGCUCAAGAACUGUCCAACAGAAACUGCGACACUCAUCGCACUGAAACCUCAUUCCUGAAUGGCAUUCGUCGGCGCGACCCAACGAGUUUACAAGUAUCUCUGUCAAGUUCAUACUGCUCUCACAGGCUAAGGUCAAGUAACUGACUCUAACUGGUCUAACAACCAACAUGUUACGUGCCCUCGACACAAUCCGACGCCAAAACGGCGAUAUGGGUCCACCGUCAACCCCGACGGCACCCAACAGUCCGGAACAGCCUGAACGCUACUGAAAAAAAAAUCACUCGGUAUCCCAGCACGAGCGUAAAUGCAUUCUAAACUAUCUGGGGUAUCCGUCACCCCAAUCCUGUGACGAUAUAAAAAUACAACGGCUCCUAGAGCUAAAUCAGGUAGUUUAGGCAUAUGUCGAUCAUUAUCGCGUUUUCUCCUAAGUCAUUUCCAAGUCCCACAUGUAUAAACUAUUUAAUUUACUAUUUCAUGCUCCAAAUUCAGAUUUGCAGUUUACCUAAUAAUCCAUGAAUUCGAGCUAACAUAACUAUACAAAAAUCGGACAUUUACACAUGUUGACUACUACGCACUUAGGAGUAAAACCGAUGUAAACCCACCUCAAAGCUAAUCCCUGGCAACGAAGAAGUCACCUAAAUUCAGCCGAGCCCGCUCUCAACCAGCAAUCGUAACUCUCCAAUAAUCUGAACCACAAAAGCAUUAAACAUGUAUUAAUCUUUCAAAAUCAGCACUUAAGCUAAAUCCUUCUAGUACGAUGCAAACCUCACCUUCCGAAUCUCAAUCCUGGUGAUGCGAGGUUCCAAAUCCAGGGUGGGAUGGUGAUGUACAUAGCUCAGGUCCCAAUCCCAAUUCCCUUCAUGAUUUACACCAAAAGAAUCCAAGAAAACUCAAGUUCAGGUUCAGAUUCACAGCAGUGGAGUAAAACAGAGGUUCGACCCAGCUAACCUUCUUCAAAUCCAGCAAUCUUGGGCUCUGUAGUUUCCUCUUGAAGUCCCGAAUCCAGCGAACCAAGUUUCGCCGCGAUCCGAUGCUCCUACGUCGCGUACGAGCCGAAACACUGACGGUCGACGCUGAAAAUCAGUAAAAUCAGCACGCGAGCUCAAAACCGUGCGUUCAAGUUAUCCCAGGAGGAAAGUUAGAUACCCACCUCGACAGCGAAUCUAGCGCCGGUGCGACGUCGAGGACGGCGAAAACACCCACUCGCCCGGCCUCCUCGCGAUGUAAUGGCAGCAACCAUAUCCCCGGACGGCUCCGCGGCGCGACGUCCGCAACGAAAGCUCCAUCCGAGUUCCACCUAUUCGAUCAAUGCUAGAGAAAGAGAGAAGGAGAAGAGUAGCAAAGUAGCUCUCUCUCUCUCUGCUCCUAAACGUAUAAAGCAAGGGGUGGAAUAGGUGAUACAAACAAGGCAAGAUAAAAUUACUAAAAAACCCCUCACCUACUCAAGUGUACUGGUACACGGGCCUCUGUAUUGGUACACAUGCCAACCCGAGAGCAGUCUGCGCGCAACCUACUGAAGUGUACCGGUACACCUUGAUGGCUGUACCGGUACAGCAAGCAGAAAAACUGCUAUUUUGCAGAUUUCUUCGCGGAAAGCUGCCCUCGCGUGGCACGGAGUCCGUUUUGCCUCUAUUUGGCGCCAACGCGACUCAGACUUGUGCCAACACUCUACAGAGCCGUCGACAAGCCUCCACAGCAGAACACCAAGGAUCUCACAUCCUUACCCACUACAAAAAGUUUCGUCCGCGAAACUUAAGCAUACCUCAACUCAGGUCCACAAACAAAUAAGGAUAGGCCUCCCUCAUCAUCGUCUCAGGCUCCCAAGUCGCCUCCCGCUCUUUGUGAUUGCUCCACUGCACUUUCACAUGCGGGACGACCCUGUUGCGCAAUUCUUUCAUCUCUCGAGCAAGAAUCCGCAACGGUCGCUCCUCGUAUCUCAGAUCCCCGCUAAUCUCUAGUGGAGUGAAGUCGAUUACGUGAGUGGGAUCGAAAAUGUAUCUCCUCAAUGCUGAGACGUGGAAAAUAUCGUGGAUGCCAGCAAGUCACGGGGGUAGAGCUAUCCUGUAUGCAACCGGUACAACUCGCUCUAAUACCUCGAAAGGGCCAACAAACCGUGGACUGAACUUUCCACGUACCCCAAAUCAGCGAAUCCCUCUGGACGGCGAGACUUUGAGGAAAACAUGAACUCGGGUCCAAGUGUCCUCCUCUCACCCACAUCACUCCAAAAUAGAGGGGAUCGACAUCUGCAUUCAUACAACGCUUCAAACAGAGCCAUUAGAAUGCUCGUUUGAUAGUUGUUGUCGUACGCAAACUCAACUAGUCUCAUAUGUCGAUACCACACUCUUCCAAAAUCCAGGACGCAUGCCCUCAGCAUGUCCUCUAGAGUCUGUAUGGUCCCCUCUGACUAACCAUCUGUCUGUGGGUGGAACGCCGUGCUGAAAUGCAACUAAGUGCCCAAGGCUGUCUGUAGACUCCUUCAAAACUGAGAUACAAAUCUCGGGUCUCUGUCUGACACAACCGACACUGGCACACCGUGUAGCCUGACGAUCUCAUCCAGGUAUAGCUGUGCGAGUCUCUCUCUCUCGACCAGGUAGUCUGAACCGGUAGAAAGUGAGUAGAUUUGGUCAGUCUGUCCACUAUAACCCAGAUCGCGUCACAACCACUCUAUGCUCUAGGCAACCCCACGACGAAGUCCAUCGUAAUCUACUCCCACUUCCACUCGGGCACUGGCAGACUCUGAAGCUUGCCAGCAGGUACCUGAUGCUCAGCCUUCACCUGUUGGCAAGUCAGACACUGAGCCACAUAUCUGCCAAUGUCUCUCUUCAUUCCAUGCCACCAGAACCGUGCCUUAAGAUCCUUAUAUAUCUUGGUUCCCCCAGGGUGAACCGUAUAAGGAGAACAAUGAGCUUCUCUCAGAAUGUCCGCUCGGAUCUCAGAAUCCACGGGCACACACAGCCGGUCCCUGUACCGUAGUACUCCCGAACUGUCCAAAGCAAAACCCUCAGCCUGCCCCCUGUCUAGCUGCUCUCUAAUCCUCAACAAGUACGGAUCUCCACUCUGUUUCUCUCGGAUCCUAUCCAAUAGAGUGUGCUAUAAAACUAGAGACGUCAGCCUCGCCGUAGACCCAGGGGGUACUAUUUCGAGUCCCAGCCGCUGUAGCUCCUCGAGUAGGGGUCGCUGCUCAGUGAUUGUCAAACUCAGGCUCUGCACUGACUUCCUGCUCAACGCAUCUGNCGGUCCCUGUACCGUAGUACUCCCGAACUGUCCAAAGCAAAACCCUCAGCCUGCCCCCUGUCUAGCUGCUCUCUAAUCCUCAACAAGUACGGAUCUCCACUCUGUUUCUCUCGGAUCCUAUCCAAUAGAGUGUGCUAUAAAACUAGAGACGUCAGCCUCGCCGUAGACCCAGGGGGUACUAUUUCGAGUCCCAGCCGCUGCAGCUCCUCGAGUAGGGGUCGCUGCUCAGUGAUUGUCAAACUCAGGCUCUGCACUGACUUCCUGCUCAACGCAUCUGCAACAACAUUCGCCCUGCCGGGGUGAUACUGAAUACUAAUGUCAUAGUCCUUCAGUAACUCCAACCACCGGCGCUGCCUCAGGUUCAGCUCCCUUUGUGUGAACAGAUACUUGAGACUUUUAUGAUCGGUGAAAACCUCGCAGUGCUCGCCGUACAAGUAAUGCCGCCAGAGCUUCAAAGCAAAAACCACCGCGGCCGGCUCCAAGUCAUGCGUAGGGUAAUUCUUCUCAUAAUCCUUUAACUGCCGUGAAGCAUAAGCAAUUACCCUACCAUGCUGCAUUAGCACACAGCCAAGUCCACUGUGUGAUGCAUCACUAUAGAUCACGAAUCUAUACCCCAUCACCAGAAGGGCAAGGAUAGGAGCCGACGUCAACCUCAGUCUCAACUCGUCAAAGCUCCUCUGACAGUCGUCGCUCUAGACAACACGAAUCCCCUUCCGCGUCAAGCGAGUGAGGGGUGUGGAAUGCUUCGCAAAGCCUUCCACAAACCAACGGUAAUAUCCUGCCAGUCCCAGGAAACUCCGCACCUCCGUCACCGUCGUCGGUCUAGGCCAAUCUCGAAUCGCCUCAAUCUUCUUCGGGUCCACUGCUACUUCCUCAGCUGAAAUCACGUGGCCCAAGAAAGCAACCUUCCGUAACCAGAACUCGCACUUCUUUAAUUUGGCAUACAACUCCUUCUCUCGCAGAAGCUGUAGCACAAUCCUCAAGUGCUCCUCAUGCUCAGCAUCACUCCGGGAGUAAAUCAGAAUGUCGUCGAUGAAGACUACCACAAACCUAUCCAAGAACGGCUUGAACACUCUACUCAUCAAAUCCAUGAAUGCGACAGGGGCAUUCGUCAAUCCAAAAGGCAUCACUGUAAACCCAUAAUGCCUGUACCGAGUCCGAAAAGCCGUCUUAGGAACAUUCUCGGCCCUCACUGUCACGCCCCGGAUUACACUUUCUCCGGGCGCGCCGACAAAUCCGCCCUAUACAAAGGAAUUUCCCCUGUAUACGAAGCGAUAGCUGUACCUGUAAAACAAACACUACUACGAACAGUAGUAGAGAGCUGCUAGAGAAAACAGAAGCUAACAAACUGAGUUUCAUAUACAUAGUCCAGAUCCAAAAUACAAAGCUACUCGCACUGGCGAGUUAAGUCCACUAUGUACAUAAACUCGAAACAAAACAUCUACCUGCAGUAGGGGCACCUCUAGCUCAGCACGUCGGGUAGGGCUCUAACUUGCGACGCCCUUGCCUCGAUCCUGAUCCGCGGAAGGCGCAGCAGCCGAAACCUGUGGCUCUGCAAAACAGGGGGUAACAACUGGGCGUGAGAACUACUGUAAAAACAAGUAGUCCUCAGUGGGUACUGCCCAAAAUAAUAUCGGUCCACCCACUAAGCCUACAGAAGGGAACAGGAAUAGUAGUAAAAUGCAGGAAUAAAGUCUACCGCUAUCAAACACUACACUAUCAUGCUCUACACUAACCAACUGUAGAAAAUAUCCAACCUGACCCAAUCCAAUCGGGACUGUAAGCAUACCCGUCCCCGGGACUGUGAAUACACCCGUCCCUGCCCCGUUGCGACUAUCAAGCUCUAUCCACACUAACUGGUCCGUGGAGAGCAAGUCCAACUGGCAUGAGCGACACCAACGCGAAAGCACAAAGCCCAACUCCGGAGUGGCACUCGUGGGCGCUACCCAACCGAGUAUGCAGCGUAUCUCUGUCGAACUCAAUCAGGCUACAACUAGCCAAACUCAAGUGAACAGGGUCAAAACAGGUCUACAAACCAAACCCACGUGCCCUCGGCACAAUCUGUGACCAAAACAAGAAUCUGGGUCCACCGUUAUCCCGAACGGCACCCAACGACCCGAAACAGCCUAUACUCUGCUGAAAAAUAAGCUCGGCACCCCAGCACGAGCGUAAAUGCCUUCUAAACUACCCCAGAUAUCCAUCGCACUAAUACUGCAACGAUACAAUCGAAUCACGGCUACUAGAGCUAAAUCUGGUAGUUUAAGCAUAUGACGGGUCAAAAUGCAGGUUUUCUCCUAAGUCAAAUUUCAAGUCCAACAUGUAUAAUUUAAAUAUUCAUUUCAGCAUGCUUCUACAUUCAUAUUACAUUCAAGAUGCUAAUCGAUGAAUUAAAGCAUGAUAUACAAAAAUCGAACUAUACACGUCGACUAAACAUGCACUUAGGAGCGAAACCGAUGAUACACCCAUCUCGAGAGCAAAUUCCUGGCAGCACGGAACUCCCUCGGCUGCGGCACAACCUGCUGGAUCGACUGGAAAUGUCCGAGUCUCAAAAUUAAGCUAUCUCCAAGCUAUCAACAUCAAAAUCCACAAUUCAGUCCAAAUACACAGCAGCAGAGAAGAGAAGGGUUUCGACCAAGCUAACCUUCACCAAAAUCCACAAGUAAGGACUUCGUGGAUUUCUCUCGCAGUCCCGAAACCAACGAAUCAAGUCUUGUCGAAAUCCGAUGAUCCUACGUCGAGUACGAGCUGAAAUACUAACAGUCGACGAUGAAGUUCAGCAAAACAACACUUAAGCUUAAAUAUCCCAAUUCCAAUGUCAAAACUCACCUAAUGAACUCCAAAUCAGGUGAAGAGGGUCCCAAUUCCAGUACUGGGUGAUAGGGAAGGUGACUCAACUCCACAAAGCCCCUGCUUCCAAAGUUCACCCCAAAAAGAACACAAAAACUUACAAUUCUGUCCACAGCAACAACAGCAGAGGAAAACCUGAGUUCGACUAAGCUAACCUCAACUAAAAUCUGCAAUUUAGGGCUUCGUGGAUUCCUCUGGAAGUCAAGAAUCCAGAAAACCAAGUUUCGUCAAAAUCCGACCUUCCUACGUCGCGCACGAGCCAAAACACUGGAGGUCGUCGCUGAAGAACUGCAGAAUCAGCACUCCAUUAAGCUGGAUCAUGGAAGUUUGAUGCAAUUUGAGGCAAAUCCGAGGGUAGAGAUGCUAAAAGAGGCUUCUCUGUGAAGAAGGGAGGAAAAGAGCUCCCCAGGGACACUUCUCAGCUAUUUAUAGGGUGAAAAUAGGAUCAGAUGGACCUCAAGAACAAAGCUUGCAAUCUGCUGUCCCCGCAGAAACAGGCGUUUCUGGGCGCCCGGAACCAUGUUCUGGGCGACCAGAACAUCCCGACUGCACAAACCGGGCUCCUCGGACUCUCCGCUCGCGGUGUGCUGCGCCCGUAAAUGGCUCCGGCGGAACUCACCUACCGCCCUGCCACGCGUCGAAGCAAGCGAUAUUCACGAUGUCGAAUUUCCGGACCCACAUCUGGGCGCCCGGAACAUGGGAUCCGAAUUGGCUUCCAGUUUUAGUUAAAUUCAACACUCGUUUCUGGGCGACCCUAACAAUGUUCUGGGCGCCCGAAUCUGGCAAAACUCCAGUUUUGCUUAUUUGAGUGCGCCGAGUCCAAUUCUGCAUCCAAUUCGUGCAGAAUUGCCUCCGACUCAGUCCGACACUCUCCAGAGAUGUCGACCAGUCUAUAAUACUGAAGCCAAUCCUAUCCAAAGCUCAGGAACACUACACUCACCUUUAGCUGGUGGUAACCUGACUGGAGAUUAAUCUUUGAAAAGACACAAGAUCCUUGCAGCUGAUCAAACAGAUCAUCAAUGCGCGGCAAGGGAUACUUAUUCUUGAUGGUCACUUUAUUCAGCUCCCUAUAAUCCACACACAGUCUAAGUGACCCAUCCUUCUUCUUCACAAACAACACUGGCGCUCCCCAAGGCGACACACUGGAUCUCACAAACCCUCUACCCAUCAAAUCUUGAAGCUGUGCCUUUAGCUCUCUCAGCUCUGCCGGCGCCAUCCGAUAAGGUACCUUCGAGAUUGGUGCAGUUUCAGGAACUACAUCAAUCACAAACUCAAUCUCCCUCUCCGGCGGCAACGACAUCAACUCAGGGGGGAAAUACAUCCGGAAACUCGCAGACUACAGGGAUAUCCUCGAGUUCCGGCGCCGCCGUAGGUACCUCCACAACUGUCGUUAGGAAAGCGAUACACCCACUACUCAGCAUCUGUCGAGCCCUCGCUGAAGAUAUCCAUGUAGCAACCAACGUGCUCCUGCAGCCUCUAAAGUGAACUCCUCCCGGCCUGGCUUGCGGAACGUCAUCGUCCUCACUUCACAGUCGAUAGUAGCCUAGUACCGCGUCCGUCAAUCCAUACCGAGUACGACGUCGAAGUCCUGCAGCUGCCCUAACACCAACAGGUCUACGGCAAAAUCCAAGAAUCUAGCUACACCGGACAAGACCAACCACACUCCGCAACCUAUAACACAUAGUCGGGGAUCUGCACCUCUCGUGCCAAAAAUAAUGACCCUAACUCUAGACCAUGCAACAAUGCAAAUGCUCGGCUCACAAAAGAAUGGGAGGCAUCAGUAUCAACUAAAGUAUAAGUACAUAUGCCGAAAAUUAAAAUAAUACCUGCCACCAUACGGUCGGCUGCUGAAGAGUCCUCCUGGCGGUAGCUCGGUGGUGCUCCAAAAGCCUGCUGGUCAGCUGGCUGCGCUGAUGCCAUGGAUAGUGCUGGUAAUGUCGCUCUAGGACACGCUGACCUCACAUGUCCUAGCUGUCCACAAGUGUAGCAGCGGCCCUCUUUCUGCUCACACUGUCUGGGCCAGUGUGGUCCCCCACAAAUCACGCACCACAGUGUCCUCGGUGACGGUCCUUGCUGAAGCGAUCUCCUGGAAUGCUGACGCCCUGAUGAACCACGACCCUGAGAGCCAGAUCGAGAAAACCUCAGCAGACGUCUGCUACUUGUCUGUCCUCCAUCAUUUGGAAAAGGGCGCUUCCUAUCCUGGCUUUGCCCUGGUGCCGUAAUCCGCUCCUGGACGGUGUAACUCCGUGUCCCACCCAGAGUGCCUGCUGCACAGAUGCUCCUGUCUCAACGCCCGACCGCUGAGUGAUAAUCUCAUAAAUCCUCUACAACAAUACACUCUGCUGCUUGAUCACCUCUGUCAGGGCAGCCAAUUGCUCUCUCAAAUCAGGGGGUGCACUCGCCUCCGGUCGUGCACUCGGCUCUGCUUGGUUAGGCAUCUCUAGUGUUGCGACUCGAUCCCUGGUCGACGGUCAACCUCGGCAGCGAUCUGAAAGAAAAAGAACGGGGUCAGAUACCACUCAAACACUCUCGACCCAAUCAACGAAAGUCUGGAAAGCAGCCCAUAUUUUCCUCUAAAAUUAUGUUGUCUGUAGCCAACAUAAUUUCUCAGGCCAAAACAGGUACUCUUUCAAUCACUCACUCCACUCUCGGAGGAGUUAAAACAACUAAUCAUUGACUUUCGCAAUUAAAUUACGCCUCUCGCGUCUUACUUUCCUAAGGUUUGCCAAACUUAGGUUUUCUAGGUCCCAACGACCUAAUGCUAAUCUCUAAUACCAACUUAAUCUGUCACGCCCCGGAUGUCUCGUUUUCCGGGAACGCCGACAAAUCCGCCGUAUACAAAAAUUUUUUUUCUGUAUACGAAGCGACAGCUGUACCUGUAAAUAUACAAUACUACAAACAGUAGUAUAGAGCUGCUCAAGGAAACAGAACCAAAACAAACUGAGUUUCAUAUACAUAGCUCAAAAACCAAAAUGCUGAGUUACUCGCACUAGCGAGUUAAGUAUACUAUGUACAUAAACUUAAAAUAAAACAACUACCUGCAGUAGGGUGCCUCUAGCUCUGUUCGUCGGGUAGGGCUCUAACUCGCGACGCCCUUGCCUCGAUCCUGAUCUGCGGAAGGCGCAGCAGCCGAAACCUGUGGCUCUGCAAAACAGGGGUAACAACUGGGCGUGAGAACUACUGUAAAAACAAGUAGUCCUCAGUGGGUGCCGCCCAAAACAAUAUCGGUCCACCCACUAAGUCUACAGUAGGGAGCAAAGGUAAUAGGAAAAGCUGGAAAGAAAUCUACAGCUACAUAUCGCUACACUAGCAUGAUCUACACUAACCAACUGUAGUAAAAGUCACAACUGCCCCAAUCUCACUAGGGACUGUGAACACACCCGUCCCGCCUGUCGGAUCGAAUCCGUAACCUACUCCAAGAGUAGCUGGUGGAGAAAACUCUCUAGGGACUGUGAAUACACCCAUCCCGUCUAAUUAGGCGACACCGUAGCUCAAGAGUAACCGGCGGAGAAAACUCUCUAAAGACUGUGAAUACACCCGUCUCGUCUACUAGACUACACUGUAUCUCAAGAGUAACCGGCGGAGAAAACUCUCUAAAGACUGUGAAUACACCCGUCUCGCCUAAUUAGACUACAUCGUAUCUCGAGAGUAGUCGGUUCCAGAAAGGGUCCAACCGGACGGCUAAGACUCCACUCACGCCACAACCUUACUAAAGGUAGGGAAAAGAGUCACUUACUACCUCACCCGGGCUGCCCAAAACGGACCCACCCUGCCUGUAUCUAGCCGCGCCGUACACGACCGCGAGGGUAGCCGGCUCAAGAACUGUCCAACAUAAAUUGCGACACUCAUCGCACUGAAACCUCAUUCCGGAAUGGCAUUCGUGCGUGCGACCCAACGAGUUUACAAGUAUCUCUGUCAAGUUCAUACUGCUCUCACAAGCUAAGGUCAAGUAACCGACUCUAACUGGUCUAACAACCAACAUGCCACGUGCCCUCGACACAAUCCGACGCCAAAACGGCGAUAUGGGUCCACCGUCAACCCCGACGGCACCCAACAGUCCGGAACAGCCUGAACGCUACUGAAAAAAAAUCACUCGGUAUCCUAGCACGAGCGUAAAUGCAUUCUAAACUAUCUGGGGUAUCCGUCACCCCAAUCCUGUGACGAUAUAAAAAUACAACGGCUCCUAGAGCUAAAUCAGAUAGUUUAGGCAUAUGUCGAUCAUUAUCGCGUUUUCUCCUAAGUCAUUUCCAAGUCCCACAUGUAUAAACUAUUUAAUUUACUAUUUCAUGCUCCAAAUUCAGAUUUGCAGUUUACCUAAUAAUCCAUGAAUUCGAGCUAGCAUAACUAUACAAAAAUCGGACAUUUACACAUGUUGACUACUACGCACUUAGGAGUAAAACCGAUGUAAACCCACCUCAAAUGCUAAUCCCUGGCAACGAAGAAGUCACCUAAAUUCAGUCGAGCCCACUCUCAACCAGCAAUCGUAACUCUCCAAUAAUCUGAACCACAAAAGCAUUAAACAUGUAUUAAUCUUUCAAAAUCAACACUUAAGCUAAAUCCUUCUAGUAUGAUGCGAACCUCACCUUCCGAAUCUCAAUCCUGCUGAUGCGAGGUUCCAAAUCCAGGGUGGGAUGGUGAUGAACACAGCUCAGGUCCCAAUCCCAGUUCCCUUCAUGAUUUACACCAAAAGAAUCCAAGAAAACUCAAGUUCAGGUUCAGAUUCGCAACAGUGGAGUAAAACAGAGGUUCGACCCAGCUAACCUUCUCCAAAUUCAGUAAUCUUGGGCUCUGUAGUUUCUUCUCGAAGUCCCGAAUCCAGCGAACCAAGUUUCGCCGCGAUCCGAUGCCCCUACGUCGCGUACGAGCCGAAACACUGACGGUCGACGCUGAAAAUCAGUAAAAUCAUCACGCGAGCUCAAAACCGUGCGUUCAAGUAAUCUGUAACGACCCAGCCCACUAGCAAUAAUAACUCGUUGGGCCCAACCACCGGCCCAAAAUGCUUAAGCCCAGUUAUUAUUACUAGUGUCUAAGUUUCUUAUAAACCCAAUGACAACCCCAUUCCCAUCCGAUGUGGGACUAUUGGGGUGUCACAUAAUCCCAGGAGGAAAGUUAGAUACCCACAUCGACAGCGAAUCCAGUGCCGGUGCGACAUCGAGGACGGCGAAAACACCCUCUCGCCCGGCCUCCUCGCGAUGUAACGGCAGCAACCGUAUCCCCGGAUGGCUUCGC